UACGGGGGGGGCAAGCGUUGUUCGGAAUUAUUGGGCGUAAAGGGUUCGUAGGUGGCCGGCUAAGUCAGACGUGAAAUCCCUCAGCUUAACUGGGGAACUGCGUCUGAUACUGAUGAGCUUGAGUGCAGGAGAGGAACGCGGAAUUCCAGGUGUAGCGGUGAAAUGCGUAGAUAUCUGGAGGAACACCGGUGGCGAAGGCGGCAUCCUGGACCGGUAUUGACGCUGAGGCGCGAAAGCCAGGGGAGCAAACGGG
rnacentral:rRNA from 1 species